rnacentral:rRNA from 1 species
AUUGAACGCUGGCGGCAGGCCUAACACAUGCAAGUCGAGCGGAUGAAGGGAGCUUGCUCCUGGAUUCAGCGGCGGACGGGUAAGUAAUGCCUAGGAAUCUGCCGGGUAGUGGGGGAUAACGUCCGGAAACGUGCGCUAAUACCGUAUACGUCCUGAGGGAGAAAGUGGGGGAUCUUCGGACCUCACGCUAUCAGAUGAGCCUAGGUCGGAUUAGCUAGUUGGUGGGGUAAAGGCGUACCAAGGCGACGAUCCGUAACUGGUCUGAGAGGAUGAUCAGUCACACUGGAACUGAGACACGGUCCAGACUCCUACGGGAGGCAGCAGUGGGGAAUAUUGGACAAUGGGCGAAAGCCUGAUCCAGCAAUGCCGCGUGUGUGGAGAAGGUCUUCGGAUUGUAAAGCACUUUUAGUUGGGAGGAAGGGGAGUAAGUUAAUACCUUGCUGUUUUGACGUUACCAACAGAAUAAGCACCGGCUAACUUCGUG